rnacentral:rRNA from 1 species
UACGUAGGUGGCAAGCGUUUGUCCGGAAUUAUUGGGCGUAAAGCGCGCGCAGGCGGUCCUUUAAGUCUGAUGUGAAAGCCCUCGGCUCAACCGAGGAGGGUCAUUGGAAACUGGAGGACUUGAGUGCAGAAGAGGAAAGUGGAAUUCCAAGUGUAGCGGUGAAAUGCGUAGAGAUUUGGAGGAACACCAGUGGCGAAGGCGACUUUCUGGUCUGUAACUGACGCUGAGGCGACGAAAGCGUGGGGAGCAAACAGG